AGAGUUUGAUCCUGGCUCAGAGCGAACGCUGGCGGCGUGCUUAACACAUGCAAGUCGAGUGCGCGUUUUCGUAGCAAUACGGAAAUGGCGCACGGCGCACGGGUGCGUAACACGUGGGUAAUCUGCCCUCUGAUGGGGAAUAACUCGCCGAAAGGCGAGCUAAUUCCGCAUAACAUUCCUUGGACUCCGGUUCGAGGAUUCAAAGGCGUAAGUCGUCGGAGGUGGAGCCCGCGCACGAUUAGCUAGUUGGUGAGGUAAUGGCUCACCAAGGCUAUGAUCGUUAGCUGGUCUGAGAGGAUGGCCAGCCACACUGGAACUGAGACACGGUCCAGACUCCUACGGGAGGCAGCAGUGGGGAAUCUUGCACAAUGGGCGAAAGCCUGAUGCAGCGACGCCGCGUGGGGGAUGAAGCUUCUCGGAGUGUAAACCCCUUUCGACCGGGACGAAUACCU
rnacentral:rRNA from 1 species